UAUUUUUUUAGUAUAUAACCGUACAUCUGACUUCCAAUCAGAAAGUCUAACUAAGUUAGAAAAAAUAA
rnacentral:tRNA from 1 species